UUGAAGUUUGUCUCCGUUUUAGGCUUUGUUGGCUCCAAAAUCAAUUCCAUAUCUUCGGCAUCAAGCUUUCAAUUUUUAAAUUGAAGUACUCGAAAAUUUUGCUCGUUUGCAUCUUAUUUGCUCUUUGGCACUAUCGUACGUGCAUCUAUUGCAUGAGCCAACAACCAACUUCAGAAGACGAGGUAAAAACCUUUUGAGGAAGCGUGAGAAGUGAGACGGGGAUGCAGUCGGAGCUGCCAUGUUGGAUUGCACGCCCACUUUGAUUGAGCGGACAACACAAAUGAGUGGUGCAGAUGGUCGCUUCCGUGCACUAUGAAAAAGAAAUAUACCCAUUGAAUUCAAAGAUGAAAGGGCAUGCUUGAGAGGCAGCAUAGACCUGGAGGAGAAAGGUUUUUCAGAGUGUAGCAUGGAAAGCUUAUUUGCUACAACUUAGCACGCUUCAGGGCACAGCCUACAGACUCUUGUAUGAGAAAUCUCUAUCCACCUGGAGCGAGAAUGCAUGCGUGCAUUCUCAACAGUUGCAUUUAAAUCAAUGUUUUUCUGGACAAAUUUCACCUAAGGAUCAUGGGCCGGAAACUGGACGUGGACUGGAAGUUUCACAAUUGAGGUUUUCCUGGUGAAAGGGAAAAACAUUCCUGGAUGUGAGGGGGCACUACAGUGCAAGUCAAAAGCAUGAUCAUCAGGAGUCCGAAACUUCCAGCUGAUCAUCAUGCAUCCCUGAUGAUGAGGACUUUGUGGAGCUCCUGAGCCACUUCAACUCCACUGACUUCUUCCAUUUCACCAAGAAUGAUGAAAAGACUACCAUGAAGUGUAAUUCAGUAACUGUUCAUCUGCGUACGAUACCACCGAAUUGCUCUGUUCUUCAUGUAUUUUAAAUUUUCGGAAGUGAUAGGUUGCGGUUUUUUGCAGGACAUUUCUCUUUAAAGUCAGCGAGAUGACUUUGUUUUGGCUGCCACCUUGGCUUCACCAGACAGUAACUUUACUCCUCAUGCUAGACGCCCUGUCGGGCGGGAAAGUUCACGGACAGAAUACAUGCACCUCGGGACACUAUUACGUACAGGAGACCACUGCGGUUUCGCAGCGAUAUACCACGUCUUGCGGUUUUUGGGGU